AUGGCGACAACACCGAAGACACGACCAUCAAUGCCGGAUUCAGUGGCUCUACUACCGAUCAAAGGAAGAAACAAUUCAAAAGAAACAGCUCGGGCACGUCCAAUCUGGACCGUAUACUCGACCGUCCAUGCCAAAUUCACGGCACCACGGGAACACCAGCCAAUCACACCAACAGAGAAUACUGGGUCUUCAAACAAGCCGACAGGUUAG
rnacentral:rRNA from 1 species